GGGAUCCCGAUCGACGGCUGCAAUUCUUGUAAACAUUCGCAUGGCUGCCCCAUCUGCACCAACUUCCAUUCAGAAAUCGGAGGAAGAAUGGCGAGCUAUCCUCUCUCCGGAACAGUUUCGCAUUCUUCGCCAGAAAGGAACUGAGCCUCGAGGCACUGGGAAAUAUGACAAGUUUUACGAAGAAGGAAUAUACAACUGUGCAGGCUGUGGAACCCCACUUUAUAAGUCAAGCACCAAAUUCAAUUCUGGCUGUGGCUGGCCUGCUUUCUUUGAGGGUUUUCCUGGAGCAAUUAAUCGCUUUCCGGACCCUGAUGGAAGGAGAACCGAGAUAACAUGUGCUGCAUGUGGUGGGCAUUUGGGCCAUGUUUUUAAAGGCGAGGGAUUCGGGACACCUACAGAUGAACGCCAUUGUGUCAACAGCAUUUCGGUCAAGUUUGCUCCUGCUAAUGCUUCACUGUGAAGCCUUUCAGAGGCAGUCAUAACCUCAGUAUGUAUUGUAGAAUGAUAUGUUCAGUGAUACGUUGCUAAUAAAGACGUAAACUUAAGCAUGAGUAUUCUUACAUAAUG
rnacentral:misc_RNA from 1 species